ACAAAGCUAACAUGUUUCUAUGACAAUUUUUUUGUUCAAAUACAAACUCUCUCAGUAAGUUUCAUCUAUUUCAGGAACUCCUUUAUUAAGCAACAUGCCCUUCAGAAGCAGGAUCAGUUUCCAGUUGGACACCACAGCCAGAAAGCUGUCGGUUUUCAGAAGCAGUUCCAAGGACUUAUUUUUCAAACACCUUUACCAGCAUCUUUCCACUAUUUGAAUGCCUCUACAGUGAUCUGCAUAAGGAUGAAAACAAGUUCUUAAAUCUUGGACUUUACCAACAUUACAUGUGUGGGCUACCAUUUCUCCCAAGGAAAAAGAAAGAUUUGCAGGAAGCAUGA